UACGGAGGUGGCAAGCGUUGUCCGGAAUUAUUGGGCGUAAAGCGCGCGCAGGCGGUCCUUUAAGUCUGAUGUGAAAGCCCGCGGCUCAACCGAGGAGGGUCAUUGGAAACUGGAGGACUUGAGUGCAGAAGAGGAAAGUGGAAUUCCAAGUGUAGCGGUGAAAUGCGUAGAGAUUUGGAGGAACACCAGUGGCGAAGGCGACUUUCUGGUCUGUAACUGACGCUGAGGCGCGAAAGCGUGGGGAGCAAACAGG
rnacentral:rRNA from 1 species